GGAGCGGCUCCGCGCUCAGGGAUCCGGGAUCCGGGAUGCGGGGUGUGGCCCGGAGCCCUGAGCACAACUGCCGUUCAGGAAAAGGAAAAAACAUUGCAGAGAAUGAAGAGAAAAAAAAUGUUAUAAAGCGCUUUCAAAAUAUAAAUAACGGCGUUUGAGGAAAUCUUGCUGAAGGAACAGGAUGCGCGUGGAGGUGAAGAAUUCAAAUACAAGUGCUGUGCUAAGUAUAAUCAGUAAUGAAAGCUCAGCCCUUCCUCUUAGGAUUUGGAUAAGCUACGUGUUGGCAGUACUUCCCAAAUUCCAGGGAACAAAAAGCAAGCUUUAAAUGUUGUCUUAAAGUCUCGUUGGAGUGUAGUUUGUUUAUCAUUACCACUUGUAAUGCUGUCCAUCUAUUUUUGCGAGACUGGACUUCAAAUACACAAUAGAAUAAAUGAAAAUCUACUGAA